AGCAGCGUGGCUCAGUGGAAAGAGCACGGGCUUGGGAGUCAGAGGUCAUGGGUUCUAAUCCCGGCUCUGCCG
rnacentral:tRNA from 1 species